CAAGCCUUCCAAUCAUCAUCCUCCAUUUGGCCUUGUUGGGAAUGGGUAGAUAAGUGAAGACUUUGUGUUUUGGUCUUCAUUUCACUUGUCUUCUUCCAAAAAACGACCAGACCAAUUCCUUAAGCUUCUCUUCUUAUUUCUUCACUUCCAUAUUCACAUAAGAGAACAUCAAACCAUAAAAACUCAUAGAAGUAUAGCUAGGACAAGUUCUGCACCUUUUCUAGCUGAAAAUCCUAUGUUUUGAAGUUUGAAUUCAUCUCUAAUCAAGUCUUGUAGCACACCUUAUCUAAGGACUGAUCCUUUCACUUCAUAGACCAUAUUGAACUUGAGGUAAUGAUGUACAUGUUUAGAAGUUGACCUAGCCAAGAGCGGCCAGUCAGAUAUUUGUUCAUAUGCCAUGCUUCGCGCCAUUUUUGUAGCCGAGC